rnacentral:lncRNA from 1 species
AAGAUUGACAAUAAAAUACUGAAAUUUAUUGUAGGCCAUCUUCCUGAGAUUGAUAAUUCAAAACUAUUAGAAUUUGUCAAUCCAAUAUUUGAUAUGGGAUAGGUGACAAUCGGCAUGGUCUAGCUGAAGACGGUAAACUUAGCGCUUCUUGGGAGGCAAUCCAAUUUUCAAUUUUUAGCUUUUAUUUUUUAUCUUUUGCAUUUUGUUUAGAUUAAUUGAGUCUUUUGUAG